rnacentral:rRNA from 1 species
AUAGCCGCAGUAUUCUGACUGUGCUAAGGUAGCAUAAUAAUUUGUCCUAUAACUGAGGGCCGGAAUGAACGAAUAAACGUCACUUUAGCUUUCUUAACUUUACAAAGGAAAAUUAAUACUUACUUCAAAAAGAGUAACUCUCUGGAAAGACGAUAAGACCCUAUAAAACUUUAUUAGAAAUUUAAUUACAAUUUUGAACUUAAAAUAGGUUUAUUUAAAUAACUAAUUAAGCUGGGGCGGCAUCUAAUUUUUAACUCCUAAGAAAAUUUAACAUUUCAUACAUGAAAAAAUAGAUCUUUCAAAGAAAUAAAACAAGUUACUUUAGGGAUAACAGCGCAAUUUUUUCCUAUAGACCUUAUAGAAGAAAAAGACUUGCGACCUCGAUGUUGAAUUGAGGAGCCUAAUUUAAGCAAAAAUAAAUWAAGGGGGUCUGUUCGACCUUUAAUACCUCA